rfam:Strigamia maritima strain Brora ctg7180001230563, whole genome shotgun sequence.
UACCGCGUAGUUUAGUGGUUAGAAUACCAGGUUUCUUACGUUUAGAACUUGGAGGCCCGGGUUCGAAUCCCGGCACGGUUU